CCUACGGGAGGCAGCAGUAGGGAAUUUUCGGCAAUGGGGGGAACCCUGACCGAGCAACGCCGCGUGAAGGAAGAAGGAAUUCGUUCUGUAAACUUCUGUUAUAAAGGAAGAAAGACGGAUGGAGGAAAUGACAUCAGAGUGACGGUACUUUAUGAGAAAGCCACGGCUAACUACGUGCCAGCAGCCGCGGUAAUACGUAGGUGGCAAGCGUUAUCCGUAUUUAUUGGGCGAAAAGAGGGAGCAGGCGGCAGCAAAGGUCUGUGGUAAAAGACUGAAGCUUAACUUCAGUAAGCCAUAGAAACCGGGCAGCUAGAGUGCAGGAGAGGAUCGUGGAAUUCCAUGUGUAGCGGUGAAAUGCGUAGAUAUAUGGAGGAACACCAGUGGCGAAGGCGACGAUCUGGCCUGCAACUGACGCUCAGUCCCGAAAGCGUGGGGAGCAAAUAGGAUUAGAUACCCCGGUAGUC
rnacentral:rRNA from 1 species